GGAACCUGAGGAAGAAGCACGUUCAGAGGUGAAUGAAACGUUCCACCUUCAGAAUUUCCCUCCUUUAAUCUGAGGUUCAGGAGCAACUUUGAGCUGUGGCACCAAAUUAACAAAUGACCUCUAAUACCUGAAAACACACGAAAGCUGCACUCCCACCGCAUCAGGGUUACCAAAGUGCUUGGGAAGGGACACCCACGGUGGCCACUUUGCCUCUUGUUUGGACACUUCCUCUCACUCUGUGCCAUCACCGCUAUGGGCAGAGGGAGCUUCCCUGGCUGCCUCUCCGUGGCACCUCCACACUAAUGUCACCACCCUUAACGUGUAUUUUUUUAAUAUUCAAGUAACGUCGAUCUGCUUGGUUUUACUGAAGGGAGAUUUUAGGUUUUAGGCAUGGUUCUAACACUAAAAGACAAACAAAUGAAGAAAAUCAGGCUUGAGGACUGGCAACACUGAAGAGCAGGACCGAGCCAGGUGCAUGCAUGGGGCCGUCACUGCCGCCACGACUGCUCCGAGCCUAGCGCUGUGCCCCCCUGACCUUGGAGAAUGUUUCCACUCGUGCUGGUUAAUGUCACCCUCAAGGUUUUAAGAAAUGCCUGUGGAAAUAAUCACAGCGACGCCAAUAAAAUGUGACUAUGGGAAGCGGUCCCCUGACCUGGCAGACGUGCGGUACCCUAAUAAACCCAUGAGUGUAAAUACUAGCAUUCAAUCCGAAAGUGGUUUUCUGUAUGUUUCCCACUGAAGGACGCCUGAUGCCUGAGAUUGGCCUCAAACCCUGUUGUCACCAGCAUCAUGUGACACUGCCUGUGAGGGUCACGCACCCAACAGCGACCGGGGGUGCCACAGGCAAGGACUCUGUACGCAAUACAUCACAAUUCUGCUUCCUUUACACCCUGAGUCUCCUCAGAAGCAUGAUUACACUAAGGCAUUAGAAGAUUUUAAAACAGAAUGUCUUCAAAAAAAAAGGAAGGAAGGAAGGAAGGAAGGAAGGAAGGAAGGAAGGAAGGAAGGAAGGAAGGAAGGAAGGAAGGAAGGAAGAAAAUUAAAAAAAAAAAAAAGUAUUUUUCUUCGUCCUGCUCAUAGGAAGGGUUAACAACCAAAAAUCACCUCUCCGAGAACAGGGUGUCUAUAAUGACCCAAAUAGGUAAGUGGUGAACAUUUACUUUCUCUUGACAGCUUCUACUGUCAGACAAGUGUGCCCCUGCUGCCGCUGAGCUCCAACAAGCGUCCUCAACAAGACUGGCUCUCAAGACGCACACCAGACCCAGAGGCUGGUGCAGGAGGCACGGGGUCCAGGUGGCCCUGGGCUCUGCUCCCUGCACACCUUCUAGAGCCACCCCGGCUCAGACCUUGGAGCAGAAGGCAGGCAUCUCCUGAAACCCCUGCAGCAGAGGACUAUCCUCGGUGCCUACAGUGUCUGGGACCCGGGGCUGGUGGUCCCUGGGCAGGUGGUGGCACGGGCACAGAUGUGGAGCCAGGUGUCUGGGCAGGACUGCCCGGCUCACCUUCAAGCGAGCAUUCUCCUCUUGCAGUUCUCUCAGGCUGACGGAGGCACGGCUGCUCUGUGUGUCCAGCUUCACGUUCAGGUGCAGCCCUUCAUCGCGCUUGCUGACUAAGUCAUCCUUAAUCUUUCCUAACUGUUCUUUCAAGUCUAAAACCUUUCAUUAAAAUAAGAGAGAAUAUUAAAAAGUA